CCUACGGGCGGCAGCAGUGAGGAAUAUUGGUCAAUGGCCGGAAGGCUGAACCAGCCAUGCCGCGUGAAGGUCAGUGCCCUAUGGGCGUUAAACUUCUUUUGUGCGGGAGCAAUAAUGGUCACGUGUGGCCAGACGAGAGUACCGUACGAAUAAGCAUCGGCUAACUCCGUGCCAGCAGCCGCGGUAAUACGGGGGGUGCAGGCGUUAUCCGGGUUUUUUGGGUUGAAAGGGUGCGUAGGCUGUGAGGUAAGUCGGCGGUGAAAUGCCCCCGCUCAACGGGGGGAAGUGCCAUUGAUACUGCCUUGCUGGAAUGCGGAUGCCGUGGGAGGAAUGUGUAGUGUAGCGGUGAAAUGCGUAGAUAUCACACAGAACACCGAUUGCGAAGGCAUCUCACGGAUCCGCGAUUGACGCUGAUGCACGAAAGCGUGGGUAUCAAACAGGAUUAGAUACCCCAGUAGUC
rnacentral:rRNA from 1 species